UGCGCAGGUGGUUUCUUAAGUCAAGAGUGAAAGGCUACGGCUCAACCGUAGUAAGCUCUUGAAACUGGGAAACUUGAGUGCAGGAGAGGAAAGUGGAAUUCCUAGUGUAGCGGUGAAAUGCGUAGAUAUUAGGAGGAACACCAGUAGCGAAGGCGGCUUUCUGGACUGUAACUGACACUGAGGCACGAAAGCGUGGGGAAUCAAACA
rnacentral:rRNA from 1 species